rnacentral:rRNA from 1 species
AUGAUUUAAUUGAAUGGCCGCGGUAUUUUGACCGUGCAAAGGUAGCAUAAUCAUUAGUCUAAUAAUUGUAGACUUGUAUGAAUGGUUGGACGAGAUAUUUACUGUCUCAAUUUUAUAUAUAAAAUUUAAAUUUUAAGUUAAAAUGCUUAAAUUUUAUUAUAGGACGAGAAGACCCUAUAGAUCUUUAUUUUAUUUUAUUUUAUAAUUUGUUUAGUUUAAUUUUAAUUAAAUUAAUUUAAUUUUUGGUUGGGGUGACAAGAGGAUAUAAUUAACUCUUUUUUUUUAUUAUUAUUCAAUAAUUUUUGUUUAAUUGACCUUUUUAUAUUGUUAUAAGAUGUAGAUACCUUAGGGAUAACAGCGUAAUUAUUUUUGAGAGUUCUUAUCGACAAAGUAGAUUGCGACCUCGAUGUUGGAUUAAGAUUACUUUAUAUGGUGUAGUAGCUUAUAUUAGUAGGUCUGUUCGACCUUUAAAAUCUUACAUGAUCUGAGUUCAAAACCGGAGA